GCCUAACACAUGCAAGUCGAGCGCGAAAAGUUUUCGGACUUAGUAAAGCGGCGGACGGGUGAGUAACGCGUGGGAAUCUGCCUGGUAGUGGGGGACAACAGUCGGAAACGACUGCUAAUACCGCAUAAGCCUGAGAAGGGAAAGUCGAAAGACGCUGAGAGAGGAGCCCGCGGCCGAUUAGCUAGUUGGUGAGGUAAGAGCCCACCAAGGCAGAGAUCGGUAGCCGGCCUGAGAGGGCACACGGCCACACUGGCACUGAAACACGGGCCAGACUCCUACGGGAGGCAGCAGUGGGGAAUCUUGCACAAUGGGGGCAACCCUGAUGCAGCGACGCCGCGUGAGCGAUGAAGCCCUUCGGGGUGUAAAGCUCUUUCGGCAGGGAAGAUAGUGACGGUACCUGCAGAAGCAGCUGCGGCUAACUACGUGCCAGCAGCCGCGGUAAUACGUAGGCAGCAAGCGUUGUUCGGAGUUACUGGGCGUAAAGGGUGUGUAGGCGGUUCUUUAAGUUUGGUGUGAAAUCUCCCGGCUCAACCGGGAGGGUGCGCCGAAUACUGAGGGACUAGAGUGUGGGAGAGGAAAGUGGAAUUCCUGGUGUAGCGGUGAAAUGCGUAGAUAUCAGAGGAACACCGGUGGUGUAGACGGCUUUCUGGACCAUAACUGACGCUGAGACACGAAAGCGUGGGUAGCAAACAGGAUUAGAUACCCUGGUAGUCCACGCCCUAAACGAUGCAUAUUUGGUGUGGGUCAUUCAGUUGAUCCGUGCCGGAGCUAACGCGUUAAAUAUGCCGCCUGGGGAGUACAGUCGCAAGGCUGAAACUCAAAGGAAUUGACGGGGGCCCGCACAAGCGGUGGAGCAUGUGGUUCAAUUCGACGCAACGCGAAGAACCUUACCUGGGCUCGAACGGCUUCUCAACGCCGGUAGAAAUACCGGUAUCCCGCAAGGGAGUGGAGUCGAGGUGCUGCAUGGCUGUCGUCAGCUCGUGUCGUGAGAUGUUGGGUUAAGUCCCGCAACGAGCGCAACCCUUGUCCUGUGUUGCCAUCAUUCAGUUGGGCACUCGCAGGAGACCGCCAGCGAUAAGCUGGAGGAAGGUGGGGAUGACGUCAAGUCCUCAUGGCCUUUAUGUCCAGGGCUACACACGUGCUACAAUGGACGGUACAAACCGCAGCAAACCCGCGAGGGGGAGCCAAUCGGAAAAAACCGUUCUCAGUUCGGAUUGCAGGCUGCAACUCGCCUGCAUGAAGCUGGAAUCGCUAGUAAACGCAGAUCAGCUACGCUGCGUUGAAUACGUUCCCGGGCCUUGUACACACCGCCCGUCACGUCACCUGAGUUUAGUGUACCCGAAGUCGCCCGUGCAACCGCAAGGAGCAAGGCGCCUAAGGUGUGCUAGGUAAGGGGGACGAAGUCGUAACAAGGUAGCCGUAUCGGAAGGUGCGGCUGGAUCACCUCCU
rnacentral:rRNA from 1 species